CUUUCCCACCAGCUCGCGAUACAGGUUAAUCUUGGAGUUUUUAUGGUUUUUCUGGAUGCGGUUAAAGUUGCCGCUAUCUUACUCCCAUUGUGUUGCAACUCGUCCGCUGUGAGGAGACAGAGGAUGGAGCGAAGGAGGCGGAGGCAAAACCAAACCCUCCAAGCCGUGUCCGGGCUGGUGUUACUGGGAUGCGGAGGCUGGUUGAGCACCCAGCUUUCCCUAAACCCAUCUACACACUCCGCCAUGAGGAGACGACUGCUGAGUGAUCUCGUGCAAGAUCAGACAGCAGUCCUGGGGUAUGUGCUUGGCCUGCUCUACCUGGUCAUAGCCUGGACCUCCAAGCUUCCGGUGCUUUUCAGGGCACACAGAGGGGAGGUGCUCUGCAGGGCGCGAGUGUGGUCGGGGGUGUUGUGUUUCCUGGCUGGAGUCCUGUACAGCAGUGCUGUCCUGGUGUGGGUUAGGGCAACCCUGCCCUGGCACAGAC